ensembl:snoRNA SNORD116 Small nucleolar RNA SNORD116
GGAUCGAUGAUGAUUUCCAAUAAAACAUUCCUUGGAAAGCUGAACAAAAUGAGUGAAAACUCAAUACCGCCACUAUAAUCGUGACUGAGGUCC